GCCCCUUGAGUGUGUCACUUGUGGAUGUGUAGAGUUGUAAUCUGGUAUUGUUUGAAGCUGUCCAUUAGGUGCACUGGCUCUAGGGCCU